rnacentral:rRNA from 1 species
GACGAACGCUGGCGGCGUGCUUAACACAUGCAAGUCGAACGAAGUGGCGAACGGGUGAGUAAUACGUGAGUAACCUGCCCUCCUUUUUGGGAUAAGCCUUGGAAACGGGGUCUAAUACAGAAUAAAGGGGGAUGGGCUUGGGGCCUAUCAGCUUGUUGGUGGGGUGAUGGCCUACCAAGGCGGUGACGGGUAGCCGGCCUGGGGGGGUGACCGGCCCCAUUGGUACUGCGAUAGGGCCCAGACUCCAACGGGAGGCAGCGGUAGGGGAUAUUGCACAAUGGGCGAAAGCCUGAUGCAGCGGCGCCGCGUGGGGGAUGAAGGCUUGCGGGUUGUAAACCGCUUUCAGCCAUGACGCGGUAGUGGCAGAAAAAGCACCGGCUAACUACGUGCCAGCAGCCGCGGUAAUUC